CAGGCCUAACACAUGCAAGUCGAACGCUCGUAGCAAUACGGGAGUGGCAGACGGGUGAGUAACGCGUGGGAACAUACCCUCCGGUUCGGAAUAGCUCAGGGAAACUUGGAUUAAUACCGGAUACGGCUGAGAGGCGAAAGAUUUAUCGCCGGAGGAUUGGCCCGCGUUCGAUUAGCUUGUUGGUGAGGUAACGGCUCACCAAGGCGAUGAUCGAUAGCUGGUCUGAGAGGAUGAUCAGCCACAUUGGGACUGAGACACGGCCCAAACUCCUACGGGAGGCAGCAGUGGGGAAUAUUGGACAAUGGGCGCAAGCCUGAUCCAGCCAUGCCGCGUGAGUGAUGACGGCCUUAGGGUUGUAAAGCUCUUUCGCUCGGGACGAUAAUGACGGUACCGAGAUAAGAAGCCCCGGCUAACUUCGUGCCAGCAGCCGCGGUAAUAC
rnacentral:rRNA from 1 species